rnacentral:rRNA from 1 species
CGCAUCUGUGUAUGCAGCAUAUCAAUAAGCGGAGGAAAAGAAACUAACAAGGAUUCCCCUAGUAACGGCGAGUGAAGCGGGAAGAGCUCAAAUUUGAAAUCUUAAAGGGUUUCCCUUUACGAAUUGUAGUUUAAAGAAGUGUUUUCUGUUGAGGUUUUGGUAAAAGUUCUUUGGAAUAGGACAUCAUAGAGGGUGAGAAUCCCGUAUUUGACCUUUACUUUCAACUUUGUGAUACACUUUCAAAGAGUCGGAUUGUUUGGGAAUGCAGUCCAAAAUGGGAUGGUAAAUUUCAUCUAAAGCUAAAUAUUGGCGAGAGACCGAUAGCGAACAAGUACCGUGAGGGAAAGAUGAAAGAACUUUGAAAAGAGAGUUAAACAGUACGUGAAAUUGUCAAAAGGGAAGCGUUUGACACCAGUGUUGUUUUUCUGAAAAUCAAUUAAAGAACUGUUUAUGCUAAGUUGUUUAGACUUUAUCAGCUAUCUGCUUAGUUUUGAGCUUUUCUUUAAUGCACUUUUCAGUUAACAAGUCAACAUCAAUUUCUUUUGCUGUAAAAAAGCUUGAGGAAGGUGGCUUGAGAUUCGUCUUAAGUGUUUAUAGCCUCUUGCCUAUGCAGUCGGAGAGAUUGAGGUCUGCAGCGUAGAUCCUUCGGGGCUAAAUGCAUUUGUGCUAAGUUAUAGCAUUUUAUAGACAACUUGUUGACUAUGAUUUGUCUUGUAGCUUACUCGCUUAUGUUAUUUUACCUACGCUUAGGAUGUUGAAUCUGUGCGAGACUAC